rnacentral:pre_miRNA from 1 species
UCGUGCUUAACGGGUAAGUGGUGUAGAUGAAACAAAUUUACCAACAAUAUUUUUGUUGGAUUGUUUCACCUAUCGUUCCAUUUGCAGCUAUGA